GACGAACGCUGGCGGCGUGCUUAACCCAUGCAAGUCGAACGGAAAGGCCCUGCUUUUGUGGGGUGCUCGAGUGGCGAACGGGUGAGUAACACGUGAGUAACCUGCCCUUGACUUUGGGAUAACUUCAGGAAACUGGGGCUAAUACCGGAUAGGAGCUCCUGCUGCAUGGUGGGGGUUGGAAAGUUUCGGCGGUUGGGGAUGGACUCGCGGCUUAUCAGCUUGUUGGUGGGGUAGUGGCUUACCAAGGCUUUGACGGGUAGCCGGCCUGAGAGGGUGACCGGCCACAUUGGGACUGAGAUACGGCCCAGACUCCUACGGGAGGCAGCAGUGGGGAAUAUUGCACAAUGGGCGGGAGCCUGAUGCAGCAACGCCGCGUGCGGGAUGACGGCCUUCGGGUUGUAAACCGCUUUCGCCUGUGACGAAGCGUGAGUGACGGUAAUGGGUAAAGAAGCACCGGCUAACUACGUG
rnacentral:rRNA from 1 species